UGCAUGUUCGCCAUAUCAGUACUCAGAAGGU
rnacentral:piRNA from 1 species